ACGCCAGCUGGGGGAUGGCUCGGCUUGGGGGGCGAAGAAGGGCGUGGCAAGCUGCGAUAAGCCUCGGGUAGGCGCAAGCAGCCGUUGAUCCGAGGAUCCCCGAAUGGGACUUCCUAUCGGGAAGCCGCAAGGCUUCUCGAUGUUCCCCUUUAUGGGGAACGCGAACCCCCCGAAAGGAAACAUCUGAGUAGGGGGUGGAAGAGAAAUCAAUCGAGAUCCCCUGAGUAGCGGCGAGCGAAAAGGGGAGAGCCCAAACUGAAUCCACCUAGGUAACUAGGUGGAGAUGUGGGGUACGCAGAAGGCGUUAUACAGGGCCUUCGGCCUGGGGCCGAAGUGGCCUGGAAAGGCCCGGCGUAGAAGGUGACACCCCUGUAGGCUCUGGGCUGAAGGGUCUGUGCCUUCUGCCGAGUACCUGGCCUUGGCAGUGGCUAGGGAAGAUGGGGGAAAGCAGCCUCCAAGGCUAAAUACCCCCCAAGACCGAUAGCGCAAUAGUACCGUGAGGGAAAGCUGAAAAGAACCCCGGAAGGGGAGUGAAAAGAGCCUGAAACCAGCUGGUUACAGACGUGUGCCGCCUGAAAGAAUCUGAGCUUAGGCUGCCCGCAAGGGUGGCUUAGGCUUAGAUUCAGGGUGGCACGUUCCGUCUAGAAACACGGGCCAGGGAGUUUAUCGCCACGGCGAGCCUAAGGGUUCAAAGCCCGGAGGCGAAGGGAAACCGACUUCCCGCAGCAGCCUUUUGGCUGCGAGGGGAGGGGUCUGAAAGGGCCUUUUAGUCGUGGCGAUAAGACUAGAAACCGGGCGAUCUUGUCCCGAGCAGGACGAAGCCGGGCGAAAGCCCGGUGGAGGUCCGAAAGGGUCCUGACGUGCAAUUCGGUCCCCUGACUCGGGACAAGGGGCCAAAAGCCAAUCUAGCCCGGUGAUAGCUAGUUCCCGCCGAAGUAGAUCCCAGUCUAGCCCGAGCGGAGGUGGCCGAUGCUGUAGAGCACCGAUGAGAAGGCAAGGGUCCGAAAGGGCCCACCUUCUUUUCGAACUCCGAAGGCAUCGGCACCGUAGAAGCUCGGAGGCGGGUUUAUGCGGGGUAAGCCCCAUAACCGAGAGGGGGACAACCCAGACUGGGGUUAAGGCCCCCAAAUGUCGGCUAAGUGUCAAACCAAAGAGCGUCCCCGAGCUAAGACAGCAGGGAGGUAGGCUUAGAAGCAGCCAUCCUUUAAAGAGUGCGUAACAGCUCACCUGCCGAGCUCGGGGGCCUCGAAAAUGGACGGGGCUCAAGCCGACUGCCGAUACCCCAGACCACCACACUCUGUGUGGUGUGUGGUAGGCGGGCGUGGAGGCUGGCUAGAAGCAGGGCUGUGAAGUCCUGUGGACCGGCCUCCAUUGCAGAUCCUGGCGGUAGUAGCAGCGUAGUCGGGUGAGAAUCCCGACCACCGAAAGGGCAAGGGUUUCCUGGCGACGAUCGUCGGCCAGGAGUUAGCCGAUCCUAACCGCAGCUCCGAAAGGAGUUGCGGGAAUAGGGAAACCGGUUAAUAUUCCGGUGCCUUAGAGGCGCCGACAACCAUCCACCCCUGCUACUUCAGGAUAGGGUGAGCAGGGUUUUCGCCCUGUUUAAUCAUCCGAGGCUGGGGGAGUGUCGUAAUGACGGGAACUCAGCCGAGGGUGAGAAUAGCCAGCCUAUGGCUGGUUCACCCGAUUCCUGGAGGCCGUGAAAACAGGGGUGGAGAGGCGCCUCUAAGAUCGUACCGAGAACCGACACAGGUGCCCUAGGUGAGAAGCCUCAGGUGUGUCGGGUGGACCGCAGGCGAGGGAACUCGGCAAAUUGGCCUCGUAACUUCGGGAGAAGAGGUGCCUGUGCUCUUGGCGAGGAGCCGGGAGCGCAGGUCGCAGUGACUAGGGGGUCCCGACUGUUUAAUAAAAACACAGGAGGCUGCGAGCCCGGAAGGGUUUGUACAGCCUCUGAAUCCUGGCCAGUGGCGGUACCUAAAACCUGGGUACAACCAGGCUAAGGGCCGCUAAACGCCGGGAGUAACUCUGACUCUCAAUGAAGGGAGUCGUUAAACUCGGCUAUAUGCGGGGAAGGGGGAGAGGUCGGCUCCCGAGUAGGGAACAACGCCGACCUGGUGCCUCUGACCCGCAGGGAACCGCCCUCUCAAAGCUUUAAAUGUGGUGCCAAUCAACUCCUUAAAACGGUGGCUACGGUGCUGAAUGAGUUCAAAGAUCUAAUAGAUCCAAAGGUUUUACCGAAGCGGAGGAAGUAUCUACAUUACUACAUAGUUGGUCUAGUGGACGGAGAAGGAUGCUUCUCUAUAUCGAUUAAGAGGCAAGACAACACAAGGUUCGGCUGGGUUAUCGACCCUGUCUUCCACGUCACACAAAGCAAAGACCAUAAGGUGGUUCUUGAGAUACUUAGAAGGGUCUUCGGCUGCGGACGUAUUAUACCGAAGCCUGGGCAAGAAGAAUCAACAUACGUCUACGUGGUGGAUUCGCGGCAGAACCUCGUUGAAAAAAUACUCCCAUUCUUCAAAAAGCACCAGCCGAUCAUAAAACAGAGAGAAUUUCAGCGAUUCGCUGAGAUCGUCGAAGGGCUGCAUAAGGGAGAGCAUAGAACUCUGGAAGGCUUCAAGAAGCUUCUGGAGAAGGCUUACGAAGCAUCUACAGAUAGAAAGUAUAAGCUGAGCGACAUACUCUCCAGCAUAGAGGGCGGACGCCUCAGAGACCAUACGCCGAGCGCCGUAGAGGGAAAUUGAAGAUGAACUCGAGGGCGAAGAUAUGGUCCAACCCAAAUCGGGUUGCUUAAGGUAGCCAAAUGCCUUGUCGGGUAAGUUCCGACGUGCAUGAAUGGAUCAACGAGGGCCCCGCUGUCCCCGCCUGCAACCCGGCGAACCCACAUAACGUGGACGAACAGUCCACGGACCCCCAUCGGGGAGAGAAGACCCUGUGGAGCUUUACUGCAGCCUGCCGUUGUGACGUGGUUGCGGUUGCAGAGAGUAGCUGGGAGCCGUUGAUGCACACGCCUCCGGGCGUGUGAUAGGCGCAAGUGUAACACCAGCCUUCCGCGGCUGCGUCACUAACCCGGAAGGGGACACCGGCAGGUGGGCAGUUCGGCUGGGGCG
rnacentral:rRNA from 1 species